rnacentral:rRNA from 1 species
UACGUAGGGGGCUAGCGUUGUCCGGAUUUAUUGGGCGUAAAGGGCUCGUAGGCGGUCUGUCGCGUCGGGAGUGAAAACUCAGGGCUUAACCCUGAGCCUGCUUCCGAUACGGGCAGACUAGAGGUAUGCAGGGGAGAACGGAAUUCCUGGUGUAGCGGUGGAAUGCGCAGAUAUCAGGAGGAACACCGGUGGCGAAGGCGGUUCUCUGGGCAUUACCUGACGCUGAGGAGCGAAAGUGUGGGGAGCGAACAGG